rnacentral:lncRNA from 11 species
CAUAAAUCUGGAUUUCCUGGAAAACUACAGGAUAAAAGCCGUCCAGAUGAGACUGCCUCUACUGCAAAACAAACAAACAAACAAACCCUCAUUUAAUAAUGAUUUGGUGACAAGAAAGAAAAGCACAGAUCCUUAUUUCUUUCAGACAUUUUUAUCAACUUACAUGAGACAUAAACACCUAGUAUUGGUAUGCAUGAAUUUAGCACAAUAUACAGGCAGUCUCCGAGUUACAAACAUUUGACUUUCAUAGUUAAGAACAGUGGUGAGACAACAGAAAAUGAGAGAAAUAUAUCCCUCAGAAGGUAAAUUCACUCCUGGAAGAGUUAUCAUGGGGAAAAGGUGUCUCAACAGAAGCUUUAUCACCAAUCCUUGUUUCCACAAGCCAAAUUUUUCAAAGUCCAUUUUUUCAGAGGGACAGAAGGUGAGAUGAAAUUUUCUGAACAGGGGCACAGGCAGCAAAGUAAAUACCACAAAAACCCCCCUUUGCCCUCUAUUUGUGCCUCUUCAAAAUCAUGAAUUUGUUUUAUGCGUGGAGAUUGGUGCAUAACAUCCAACACACAGUCUUCACAUAAAGAGGUUCUGACACAAUCAGGGCCGUAGUUCAACCCCUCCUCCCCCAAUUUACUUAUAAAUUGGUUAACCAGUUAAAAUUCAUGAGUAAACCAGGUUUGGCAGGGGGGUUGAACUCUUUCGGGGGGGGGGGUGUUGGAACCCUUAACUCCCCCCCCCCCUCGCUAAGCCCUGGACACAAUGGCAUGGUUGCCCUGACAAUUGAUGACUUCUCAUCUUUUCCAGUCUUCAUCUGCCACUGAGGUCUUCAGAUUGUAUUUGGUCUGGUUCCUCCCCAGUCACAUUGCCACUAUGAGUGGUGGUAAGGUCACCCAUGACUCCUGAUAGCUUUGCUCACAAGUUGACCGGAAUGCACAAAACCACUUACGAUGACAAGGUGAUGAUCCAGUGAGGGGGAUUAUCAUUAUCUUCUAGCCCAACCAACUUCAAAUGAUUAUUGUGAGAAUGAAAGGAAAAGCAAACUGUAUUUUUCAGACAUAAAAUGGGCUAUAAGUCAUUUAGGUGUGUUGCUAUAGAGUGGGGGCAAAAUAAGGGCAUUUCUCUAAAUAGUCUGCCCCAGGUGGAAUUUUGUUCUCUUUCCCACAUUUCUAGCACUGUAGAGAGUGCGAUACUGAAAAUUAUUCAUAACUAGAAUGCUAUACUACUGGUUGCAUUCCCUUUGUCUUUCUCAUUUCUUCGGAUGCCUAAAUUCUAUUUCAAAAUGCUCAAGUGAUAUUUUAAGCUUCUGCAGUCUAGAAAUAUGGAUAAUAAAAUAAAUUUUCUUGAAUCAUCGAACCACAGAGUUGGAAGAGAUCACAACAAUCAUUUAAUCCAACUUCCUGCCACACAGGAACACACAAUCAAAGCAAUCCUGACCGAUGACUCUCCAGCCUAUGUUUGAAAUCUCCAAAGAAGGAGACGUCAGGGCAGCAUAUUCCACUGCUAAGCAGCUUUUACCAACAGGAAGUUCUUCCUCAUCUUUAGGUGCAUUUGGCGUUUGUUCUUGGCCCUGCACAAGAGGGGAGCGGGCUGAUAGAUCUCUAGCAUGGUGACUCAUAUUAAGGAGUGUCUGCUAGGUGGGUCAGCAUCUUUUAAAAAUAUUGACUUUUGUUGUGUCCAGCCA